AAUUAUUGAAACUAGAGUGAUAGAACAAUUACGGUUAGUCAAAUAUACGAUUGGGAAGCAGAGCAAGACAAAGGUGCCAAUUUGAUAUAAGACAUGAUGGUCAUUAUUUGGAUCUGGAGGUUGAUCAGGCGGAGGUUGAUCAGGAGGAGGUUGAUCAGGGGGAGGUUGAUCAGGCGGAGGUUGAUCAGGCGGAGGUUGAAGAAGCCAAACCACAAAACCUAUAAAGAGGCAGAAACAAGAUGUUCCAAGCCAAAGAUCCCAUCUCCAGGGCUUGAGGAAAGUCCACGCUGCACUUUUCCUCUUCAUGUCUAUGGCGGGCAGAACCAU
rnacentral:lncRNA from 1 species